AUAGCUCACUAGUCGAGUCGGCCUGCGCGGAAGAUGUAACGGGGCUAAAACUAUGUGCCGAAGCUGCGGAUGUAUACUUUGUAUACGUGGUAGGGGAGCGUUCUGUAAGCCGAUGAAGGUGUGUUGAGAAGCAUGCUGGAGGUAUCAGAAGUGCGAAUGCUGACGUGAGUAACGACAAAACGGGUGAAAAACCCGUUCGCCGAAAGACCAAGGGUUCCAGUCCAACGUUAAUCGGGGCUGGGUGAGUCGACCCCUAAGGCGAGGCCGAAAGGCGUAGUCGAUGGGAAAAUGGUUAAUAUUCCAUUACUUCUGUGUAAUGCGAUGAGAGGACGGAGAAGGCUAAAUCAGCCUGGCGUUGGUUGUCCAGGUGAAAGGAUGUAGGCAUGUAUCUUAGGCAAAUCCGGGGUACUCUAUGCUGAGAUCUGAUAGCAAGCUGUACUUGUACAGCGAAGUGGUUGAUGCCAUGCUUCCAGGAAAAGUCUCUAAGCUUCAGUUACACAGGAAUCGUACCCGAAACCGACACAGGUGGUCAGGUCGAGUAGACCAAGGCGCUUGAGAGAACUCUGCUGAAGGAACUAGGCAAAAUGGUACCGUAACUUCGGGAGAAGGUACGCUGUUGUUGGUGAUGGAACUCGCUUCCUGAGCUGACGACAGCCGCAGAAACCAGGCCGCUGCAACUGUUUAUUAAAAACAUAGCACUCUGCAAACACGAAAGUGGACGUAUAGGGUGUGAUGCCUGCCCGGUGCUGGAAGGUUAAUUGAUGGGGUUAGCGUAAGCGAAGCUCUUGAUCGAAGCCCCAGUAAACGGCGGCCGUAACUAUAACGGUCCUAAGGUAGCGAAAUUCCUUGUCGGGUAAGUUCCGACCUGCACGAAUGGCAUAAUGAUGGCGGCGCUGUCUCCAGCAGAGGCUCAGUGAAAUCGAAAUCGCUGUGAAGAUGCAGUGUACCCGCGGCUAGACGGAAAGACCCCGUGAACCUUUACUGCAGCUUGACACUGAACUUUGACCUUACUUGUGUAGGAUAGGUGGGAGGCUUUGAAGCUGGAACGCUAGUUCCAGUGGAGCCGUCCUUGAAAUACCACCCUGGUAAUGUUGAGGUUCUAACUCUGUCCCGUGAUCCGGGACGAGGACCGUGUCUGGUGGGUAGUUUGACUGGGGCGGUCUCCUCCUAAAGAGUAACGGAGGAGUACGAAGGUGCGCUCAGCGUGGUCGGAAAUCACGCGUAGAGUAUAAAGGCAAAAGCGCGCUUAACUGCGAGACCCACAAGUCGAGCAGGUACGAAAGUAGGUCUUAGUGAUCCGGUGGUUCUGUAUGGAAGGGCCAUCGCUCAACGGAUAAAAGGUACUCUGGGGAUAACAGGCUGAUACCGCCCAAGAGUUCAUAUCGACGGCGGUGUUUGGCACCUCGAUGUCGGCUCAUCUCAUCCUGGGGCUGAAGCAGGUCCCAAGGGUAUGGCUGUUCGCCAUUUAAAGAGGUACGCGAGCUGGGUUUAGAACGUCGUGAGACAGUUCGGUCCCUAUCUACCGUGGGCGCUGGAAAUUUGAGAGGAUCUGCUCCUAGUACGAGAGGACCAGAGUGGACGAACCUCUGGUGUACCGGUUGUGACGCCAGUCGCAUCGCCGGGUAGCUAUGUUCGGAAGGGAUAACCGCUGAAAGCAUCUAAGCGGGAAGCCUACCUCAAGAUAAGAUUUCCCUAG
rnacentral:rRNA from 1 species